UUUCUAGCCAAAAUUUGUAUCUGGACAUCCAAAAGUCGUUAUAUGAAACACACCUUUAUUGAAGAAAACAAAAGUGCUCCUUCGUAACAACAAUAAAAGCAACAAAAAGAAUCGCAGUUGACGUUCCACUCUCCCUCCUACAGCCUACAGGGUUUUGAUCUACUAAGAACGAGCGGAUAUAUCUGAAUAUAGGUGGAAGAAUCAUUAGCAGAGGCAUCUCUCUUUUGAACCAUUUCUUCAAAAAGUUAAAAGGCACCUUCUCUUGAUGAUUUUUUCCACGGCUGAGUUUGUUUUCACAUCCUCGCAGUCUAAGAAAUGAAUCCCAUGCUUAAUGUAAUCUGCAAUAUGGAUCUAGAAUAAUCAGUUUUUGCGGUGUUAUUCCUGGCUAGAACCAACAUAAGACUACACGAUCACGGGCACAACGUAGAUGAUAGGGACUAAACAGCUGCAUAAUGGGUGAGAUGGCUAGAAUCCGGAGAGUGCAACUUUAAUUUCAAGAAGUUUUGAUGAAUGAUCGUUAAACUAUUUCAUUUGGAAGUUGAAAAGUGAUGCUUAAUGUGAGAAAGAGACAACAAGAUCAACGGUGAAACAAUUGACUUGUAAUGUUGCAAGCUUUCUUUUAUUGUAGUUGUGUAGAUAUAUUGGAACUCAAAUUACUUUGAAUCUUAGUAUUGAGGACUACAGAUUACUAUAAGAUUGACAACAAUGAAAAGUUUCGGGAUGAAAUGGAAGGAAAGGAAAGGAAAAGAACAUGUGGAUGGUUUUUGCUGCUGAAAAAUGAGUAUUUUUCUUUGUUGCACACACCUUAAAAACUAAAGGCUGCCUUGUGAAAUAUGGAGUGAGCUAUAGUUAGGAUAUUAUUACUCUAGAAAAUGUAUUCAUUGGUUUGUCUUUUUUCUUUUCAAAAUUAAUUAUUUAAUUCGAUUUCGUUUGAUUUCUAAUUGUAGAAUUGGGAACG